CUCUCUGACUCAUCACGUUCUUCUCUAAUAUCUUUCUUCACGCAUAUGGUGGUGUUCCUAUUCUACUGUCACUUCUCAUCUCCAAAACCCUACCCUCUCUCCACCAAUGGAUUCUCCCACCACCAACAAUCACAACCACAUCCACACUCACCACCUCAACGGCGCCUCCACCAUUUCCCAACCAUCCAAGAAGCCUAAGCUCUUAUCAUCAUCCUUCAUCACUCCCGCCGAGAUUCACGAGGAAUUCUCCCACCACGACCCCUCCGUCGCCCGCAUCAACAACGGCAGCUUUGGCUGCUGUCCCGCCUCCGUCAUCGCCGCCCAGCACCGCUCCCAGCUCCACUACCUCCGCCAGCCCGACAACUUCUACUUCAACGAACUCAAGAAAGGGAUCCUCCAAUCCCGCACCAUUAUCAAGGACCUCGUCAACGCCAAACACGUCGAUGAGAUCUCCAUCGUCGACAACGCCACCACCGCCGCCGCCAUCGUCCUCCAGCACACCGCUUGGUCCUUCCACGAAGGAACCUUCCAGAAGGGCGACGUUGUCCUCAUGCUCCAUUACGCUUACGGCGCCGUCAAAAAGUCCAUGGAGGCCUACGUCACCCGCGCCGGAGGCCACGUCAUCGAGGUACCCCUCCCUUUCCCCGUCGCUUCCAACGAAGAAAUCGUUAGAGAGUUUAGAAAAGCAUUGGAGAGAGGAAAGAGUGAGGGAAAGAGGAUCAGGUUAGCCGUUAUAGAUCACGUUACUUCGAUGCCGUGUGUGGUGAUUCCGGUGAAGGAAUUGGUUCAGAUUUGUAGGGAGGAAGGGGUUGAAAAGGUUUUUAUUGAUGCUGCACAUUCAAUUGGGUGUGUUGAUGUUGAUAUGGAAGAGAUUGGUGCUGAUUUUUAUACCAGCAAUUUGCAUAAGUGGUUCUUUUGCCCUCCUUCCAUUGCGUUUUUGUAUACAAGGAAAACCCCUAAGGGGGGUUCUGAAUUGCACCACCCUGUGGUGUCUCAUGAAUACGGCAAUGGCUUGGCUGUGGAGAGUGCUUGGAUUGGGACCAGGGACUAUAGUGCCCAAUUGGUGGUUCCUGCGGCUUUGGAAUUUGUGAAUCGGUUCCAAGGGGGAAUCGAAGGGAUCAAGAAGAGGAACCAUGAUGCUGUUGUGGAGAUGGGGGAAAUGCUUGCCCAAUCAUGGGGGACGCACCUUGGGAGUCCUCCGGAUAUGUGCGGUAGCAUGAUCAUGGUGGGUUUGCCUACUUCUUUGGGGAUUGCUUGUGAUGAUGAUGCUCUUGGGUUAAGGGUGCAUUUGAGGGAACAGUUUGGGGUUGAAGUCCCUAUAUACUAUCGGCCGCCGAGAGAUGGCGAAGUCAGGUGUGUAACUGGAUAUGCCCGGAUUUCUCAUCAAGUCUACAACAAAGUUGAUGACUAUCACAAGUUCAGGGAUGCAGUUAACCAACUUGUCAAUAAUGGUUUUACCUGUGCUCUCCUUUCAGGCUAAAGAGUUAGUAAAAGCUUCAAAGUAGUUUUAUGACGAAUAAAACCGGAUGGUUCUGCGGCUGCUCACGAGCUGGAUUUGUUGUAAUGGUUUCGGUACCAUGAACUCCAGGUUGUGUAGAGAAACUGCAGAAAAUGUUCAUCUUUGCUUUGCUUUGCUGCAUUGUUCCCUGGGGAUUAACUUCAAUGUUGAGGUCAUGUAUUGAUCAUUGUAAAUAUAAUCCUGAUUCUCAGAUGGUUUGAUGCUUUUGACCUUCACUAUGCCAAUUGAAGUUUUAAGUUUAGCUCAAUGCCAAUUUUUCCACUGUAUAUCUACCAUGCCAUGUUCAUUUCUCCACCAUUGAUGAAGCUGUGGGGAUUUGAUCGUAGGUCAUGUUGAUCCUAAUUUCCUAAUCCUUUCACUACAAUUGCACAACCAUAAGCAAAUAACAGCAAAGCUAAAUUUGACAGAUUUGACCCAUGGCCCAAUGGCGUAACAACCGGAUCAAACAAAACAGACCAAGUGGUGAGGAGUGGAGAAUGAGAGGGAGAGAGAGAAUGACUAGUGACUAGUGACUAGUGAGCGAGCGAGGGAGAGAGAGAUCCUUUGGUAACCGCCAGAGUCCCAGACACCACACCACAGUCCACACUCACUUCAAGCACCUCCUUCUUCCCCCCUUUUCUCUCUGAAUUAGUUA